UGGGUCCUGAAUCAAGGCUAGCAGUUUGCUGAAGCUGUUGGUUUCAAGCAGGAAUAUAGAGAAGUCUCUUUCUUUGGUCUGUUAGAACUUAGGAAAUGUAAUAGUCAAUUCAUUAGAAACAUCU
ensembl:snoRNA